rnacentral:lncRNA from 1 species
UCCGAAUACUUAAUAAAAUUAUUAUUAUUUCACCAUCCUAAAGAAGAGGAAAAAGCUUAAUUAUAACCUCAAUAAUCAAAACAAAGACUAAAAAAGGCACAAUGAAAAUUGAAGAUAUCCACAAAACGAUUCAAUUAAGUAUCUUGGGUUUGCAGCGUUUAGCAGCGUAUGAAAUGCGAUCAUUACGAAUAACAUCUUCCAAUAUCUCAUCAGACUCAUUUCGUUCCUCCAAAUUUUCAAUAUGAAAUUUCAAAUCUUCAUCAGAAACUACUCUGGAUAUCCUGCAAAACGUAUAUAGAGAGGAACGACGGCUAGUGAUGGUUUCUUUUGGCAGAUUCAUCCAAUUUUGAGACGAAUCGGAGAAAUCUUUGUCGUUCUGCUUUGCUUGUUUCACGAAAAGAGAGAGAGAAAGGAAGAAAGAAAAUUGAGAGAAUUGCAUUUUUCUCUUAUAUAUUUUUAAUAACACCCAAUCGACACCUGCCACUUCGACGUUUCUUACCAACAAAUCUGUAUC